rnacentral:rRNA from 1 species
UAAUACGUAGGGAGCAAGCGUUGUCCGGAAUCAUUGGGCGUAAAGCGCGCGUAGGUGGCCAUGUAAGUCCGCUGUGAAAGUCAAAGGCUCAACCUUUGAAAGCCGGUGGAUACUGCAUGGCUAGAGUACGGAAGAGGCGAGUGGAAUUCCUGGUGUAGCGGUGGAAUGCGCAGAUAUCAGGAGGAACACCAAUAGCGAAGGCAGCU